ensembl:rRNA 5_8S_rRNA 5.8S ribosomal RNA
GACUCUUAGCAGUGGAUCACUGGGCUCGUGCGUAGAUGAAGAACAAAACUAGCUGUGAGAAUUAAUGUGAAUAGCAGGACACACUGAUCAUGGACACUUCAAAAGCACUUGCUGUCCCCGGUUCCUCCUAAACCUAUGUUUGCCUGAGUUGGG